UGCCCAACAACUCCUAUCCCUACCUCCUUGUGGUACUGGCCGGGGUACGAGUAACCUUGGGGAAGAUCGGGCAACAAACCCCGGUGGGAGCUUUGGUCGUAUGCUGACAGAGAAGG
rnacentral:ribozyme from 1 species